UCUUCUCCGAUCCCCUCCCGCUCGGCUCCUCGCUCUCUAGCAUCCCUCUUUCUCCCGCGGAUAUAGUGCAUCCCAACAUCGUCGGAGAAGAGAGAAUCGUUACUAUGGCGAGAUCAAUAUGAUAGGACGGCGCAUGCCUCGGUAUCCUUAUACUUGAACCCUUCGCCGCCACUCGCUCUGCCGCGCGUCUCUCUCGCAGUUCUGCUCGUUCCGUCGUCGUCGCACCGCAUCCUCUAGCCUCGCCACCUCGCACUCCAUCUCGGCAGCCUCCAUCUCUGUCGCUCAUGCGAUCCACGUCCCCCGAUGACGUCCUCCAUAUCUCUUAGCCCCUCGCGCGCGGUACAUCCCUCUUCGUCUUGGCGCGCGCUGGAGGCCGCGUGCCAGACCGUGGGCGGCGUUGACUUAACUCACUUCAGUCAACAGAGGGCCGUAUGCGAGAGGAUACUCUUCGGUCUCUUCGGUCCGGAUCGACCUACGGGAUGUUCUUCUUUUCUUCAUCGAAUGAAGCAGAAGCCACGUCAAAAUAAAACAGCGGAAGCUGCCAGCUAGUUAGGGGAGAUCUAUUCCGAAUCAUCGCAUUUGAAACAAGAGGGCGCCAACUAGAUGUUUUAUAGAAAGGAAAAGAAAUAAAGCUAGCCGUUCGUCGGCGUCGUGUAAUAUUUUGGCACGCUCAAGAAGACGCGCUUGUGUGCUCCUGUUCGAAAUAUGUGAUGUAUGACUAUCGAGUCAGCCGGGUGAUAUGACAUGUCUAUGUUCAACGGAGCGUACCAAAGUGAUAUAAAAAAAAA
rnacentral:lncRNA from 13 species